UUACCUCCAGGAACCUUAAACUAGACGUUUACCUCCAGGAACCUUAAACUAGACGUUUACCUCCAGGAACGUUAAACUAGACGUUUACCUCCAGGAACGUUAAACUAGACGUUUACCUCCAGGAACCUUAAACUAGACGUUUACCUCCAGGAACCUUAAACUAGACGUUUACCUCCAGGAACCUUAAACUAGACGUUUACCUCCAGGAACCUUAAACUAGACGUUUACCUCCAGGAACCUUAAACUAGACGUUUACCUCCAGGAACCUUAAACUCGACGUUUACCUCCAGGAACCUUAAACUAGACGUUUACCUCCAGGAUAAACUAGACGUUUACCUCCAGGAACCUUAAACUAGACGUUUACCUCCAGGAACCUUAAACUAGACGUUUACCUCCAGGAACCUUAAACUAGACGUUUACCUCCAGGAACCUUAAACUAGAC